rnacentral:rRNA from 1 species
GAUGAACGCUAGCGGUGCGCCUAACACAUGCAAGUCGAGCGCCCUCACUUUGUGCUUAAUUACUGAUGUAAUUGAGUCCAGAGUGAGGGAGCGGCGAACGGGUGAGUAACACGUUGGAACCUACCCCAGACUCAGGGAUAGCCCGCCGAAAGGUGGAUUAAUACCGGAUGGUCUCGUAAGAGUAAAGCUUUUGCGGUCUGGGAGGGGCCUGCGGCCUAUCAGCUAGUUGGUAAGGUAAUGGCUUACCAAGGCUAUGACGGGUAACUGGUGUGAGAGCAUGACCAGUCACAAUGGAACUGAGACACGGUCCAUACUCCUACGGGAGGC